rnacentral:rRNA from 1 species
GUGGGUGAAGAAGGCCCUAGGGUCGUAAAGGCCUUUCUGCCGCGAAGAUGAUGACCGUACCUGCAGAAGAAGCACCGUCCAACUCCGUCCCAGCAGCCGCGGUAUCACGGAGGGUGCAAGCGUUAAUCGGAAUCACUGGGCGUAACGGGCACGCAGGCGGCCCGUCAAGUGGGAUGUGAAAGCCCCGGGCUCAACCCGGGAAUGGCAUUCCAAACUGGCGGGCUCGAGUCCGAGAGAGGGAGGCAGAAUUCCCCGUGUAGCGGUGAAAUGCGUAGAUAUGGGGAGGAAUACCGGUGGCGAAGGCGGCCUCCUGGCCCGGCACUGACGCUGAGGUGCGAAAGCGUGGGUAGCGAACGGGAUUAGAUACCCCGGUAGUUCACGCCGUAAACGAUGAGGACUAGGUGUUGGGUGGUACGCCCACUCAGUGCCGAAGCUAACGCGUUAAGUCCUCCGCCUGGGGAGUACGGCCGCAAGGCUAAAACUCAAAGGAAUUGACGGAA